GGCAACAGCUCAAAUUUGAAAUCUGGCUCUUUUAGAGUCCGAGUUGUAAUUUGCAGAGGGCGCUUUGGCGUUGGCAGCGGUCCAAGUUCUUUGGAACAGGACGUCACAGAGGGUGAGAAUCCCGUACGUGGUCGCUAGCCUUCGCCGUGUAAAGCCCCUUCGACGAGUCGAGUUGUUUGGGAAUGCAGCUCUAAAUGGGAGGUAAAUUUCUUCUAAAGCUAAAUACUGGCCAGAGACCGAUAGCGCACAAGUAGAGUGAUCGAAAGAUGAAAAGCACUUUGGAAAGAGAGUCAAAUAGCACGUGAAAUUGUUGAAAGGGAAGCGCUUGCAGCCAGACUUGCCUGUAGUUGCUUAUCCGGACUUUUGUCCGGUGCACUCUUCUGCGGGCAGGCCAGCAUCAGUUUAGGCGGUUGGAUAAAGGUCUCUAUCACGUACCUCCCUUCGGGGUUGGCCUUAUAGGGGAGACGACAUGCAACCAGCCUGAACUGAGGUCCGCGCAUCUGCUAGGAUGCUGGCGUAAUGGCUGUAAGCGGCCCGUCUUGAAACACGGACCAAGGAGUCUAACAUCUAUGCGAGUGUUUGGGUGUCAAGCCCAGACGCGUAAUGAAAGUGAACGGAGGUGGGAACCUUUUAGGUGCACCAUCGACCGAUCCUGAUGUCUUCGGAUGGAUUUGAGUAAGAGCAUGGCUGUUGGGACCCGAAAGAUGGUGAACUAUGCUUGAAUAGGGUGAAGCCAGAGGAAACUCUGGUGGAGGCUCGCAGCGGUUCUGACGUGCAAAUCGAU
rnacentral:rRNA from 1 species